rnacentral:rRNA from 1 species
GGACCUGCACAAAUGGUGGAGCAUGUUGUUUAAUUCGACAGUACACGCUGAACCUUACCAAGACUUGACAUUUCCUGCAAAGUUAUAGAAAUAUGAUGGAGGUUAACAGGAUAACAGGUGGUGCAUGGUUGUCGUCAGUUCGUGUCGUGAGAUGUUGGGUUAAGUCCCGCAACGAACGCAACCCCUUUCGCUAGUUAAUUUAUCUAACGAGACUGCUAACGCAAGUUAGAGGAAGGUGGGGACGAUGUCAAAUCAUCAUGCCCCUUACGUCUUGGGCCACAAACGUGCUACAAUGGCUAUUACAAACUGUUGCCAAACCGCAAGGUGGAGCUAAUCAAGAAAAAGGUAGUCUCAGUUCAGAUCGAGGGCUGCAAUUCGUCCUCGUGAAGUUGGAAUCAUUAGUAAUCACGAAUCAGACAUGUCG